AUCUGGCAACGAGGCUGCGAGGAAAUCUUAAUGAUAUUGGACAUAUUGUUUUCCCCGGUGUACAAGGUAGAGUUGAAAGAUGCAAGUGGUGUUUCUGAUCACUUUCCUUUUGGUCUCAGCUCACUGCACACCAUGGAAACCACCGAUCAACAGAGCGACUACCAGAGCCCCCAUGCUGCCGUCACCACCGAGAACAGAAAUUGCUCCUCCUCUGACUCCGAGGCCCCCAGGCCCUUUCACCCCAGACAGACGGGGAGACACGUGAUUCAUGAAGUUCUGCAGGGAUUUCAGAGCGAAAGGCAGCUUCUUCCCCCGCAUCCACACCACAGCUGACGAUCCAACACAGCAGCUCUCUGCUCCGUGUCCCACAAGGGACCCUCUUCUGUAUCCUGGCUAAAAUGGCACUUCAUUAAAAAUGUUUCUGUCACUACGAUAUUCCCAAGUGGAAUGAUAUUUCCCAUCAUUAUCAGCCUUUAAAGAGAGAUGGGGAAAAUGAGCAAAGGAAUCGAGGGAACAGGAUCUCUUUUUUCCUGGGAAGCCCUAGGCGUAGCUAAAAAUCAAGAGGUCCUAUGACAAAGGAAGAGGGCAAGAGGAUACUGGGGUGGUGGUGGGUGACAGGACUGUCUCCAGGUGACAUCCAAGCCCUUGAGAGACCACUGGGAUGUUUCCAGCAAGAGGAGAUGGUAUUCUGACCCUUUUAACUGGGACAGAAAUUUGAUGAAGCUCAGGGGAAAUGCACCUAAAAUUUCCCCUUGUCUUAUUUGGGAGGCAGAGUUAGCAGUUUCUCCCUAAUCACAGAUGUGCAAAGAAAAGGG
rnacentral:lncRNA from 1 species